rnacentral:rRNA from 1 species
UGGGGAAUAUUGGACAAUGGGCGCAAGCCUGAUCCAGCCAUGCCGCGUGAGUGACGAAGGUCUUCGGAUUGUAAAGCUCUUUUUGGCGGGGACGAUAAUGACGGUACCCGCAGAAUAAGCCCCGGCUAACUUCGUGCCAGCAGCCGCGGUAAUACGAAGGGGGCUAGCGUUGUUCGGAAUUACUGGGCGUAAAGCGCACGUAGGCGGACUGAUAAGUCAGGGGUGAAAUCCCGGGGCUCAACCUCGGAACUGCCUUUGAUACUGCGGAUCUCGAGUCCGAUAGAGGUGAGUGGAAUUCCUAGUGUAGAGGUGAAAUUCGUAGAUAUUAGGAAGAACACCGGUGGCGAAGGCGGCUCACUGGAUCGGUACUGACGCUGAGGUGCGAAAGCGUGGGGAGCAAACAGGAUUAGAUACCCGUGUAGUCCCUGAGCGGGCUGGCAAGGCGCAU